rnacentral:misc_RNA from 1 species
CUAGCUGAGCCUUUAAUAUGACCUGAACAAAUAAAAAAUAAAACCAAAAGAACAAUAAAGUUAGGUUUUCACAGUUUACAUCUCAAGUGGCAUCAAGCACAAAACCACAAAGAUUUGGUCAUAUAAGAUUAAUCAAACCUUAAGAUUAAUCUGUUUAGCUGCAGUUACUCGUUGUUAAAAAAAAAAAUUAGCAAAACUACUAAAAUUCAUCAGAUAAGAAAUGGGAAUUUGUUUCACACAUUCAAAAUUCAAAAUACACAAUUCAUAAUAAAUAAAUAAAUAAAUAAACCUAAACCAGGAAAUGGAAAUAGCAUAAGGUACUCCAAGGCAAUAUCAUCAUUAUAUGAGCUACCAUGAAACUCAAUUUGCAGUAAGCAGCACGAGAACCAAGAACCCCACCCAAAAUAUCAAAAUUAUAGCCACAAAAGCUAAGGAAAGUUUGGAAGGUUUAUUCAAUUCCAGCUAUCUUAUUUCAUAUUCUUGCUUUAAAGAAGAAAAAUAAAUUAAGAAAAUAAAUAAAAAAAUCAGAACAAAAAAAAAAAUCAAUGAGAAGAA